UACAGAGGUCUCAAGCGUUGUUCGGAUUCAUUGGGCGUAAAGGGUGCGUAGGCGGCGGGGUAAGUCAGGUGUGAAAUCUCGGGGCUCAACCCCGAAACUGCACUUGAUACUGCCUCGCUUGAGUACUGGAGAGGAGACUGGAAUUUACGGUGUAGCAGUGAAAUGCGCAGAUAUCGGGAAGAACACCCGUGGCGAAGGCGGUUCUCUGGGACGGUACUGACGCUGAGACGCGAAAGCGUGGGGAGCGAACAGG
rnacentral:rRNA from 1 species